rnacentral:rRNA from 1 species
AUGGCCGAGUCGGCCGUUAGCAUCGUGCUCGGCAAUGUCAACGCACUUGCAGUUCGGGAGACCACAAUGUUGUGUUGUGUCACCCUGGAAGUGGAGCUCCUGAAGGACGAGCUCAAGCGGCUGCGAGGCUUCCUUAGAGACGCCGACAACAAAUGGAGGCGGGGAGAUGAAAGUACUGCUGUCUUGGUCGGCCAGAUCAGAGAAGUGGCGUAUGAUGCUGACAAUGCCAUCGAAGCCGCUGAGUACAUGCAGAAGAGAAACAGAUUGAAGAAGGGGUUCAUGGGUACCAUUUCAAGGUAUGCUCGCCUACCAAGUGAUUUGACUAACCUUCACAAAGUUGGUGUUGAGAUCCAACGCAUCAAAAGGAAGAUUUCUGAUAUAUUUGAAAGUGCAAACCGUCUUAAAAUAGUUGAUUUGGGGAAUACCUCAACAGAAAAUCUUCAAGUUGAUGGUGAACUCCCACAAGAGUAUGGGCCUAUGCACCAGAACUUUGAAGAUGUUGUCAUGGUUGGUUUUGAGGAUGAUUACCAGGAAAUAGUGGGGAAACUACUUGAUAAAGGGGACAGUCUUAGUGUUGUCUCCCUAGUUGCCAUGGGUGGGGCGGGGAAAACAACACUUGCUAGAAAAUUCUACACUUCAACUAGUGCCAAACAACAUUUUGAGAUAGUUUCUUGGGUGACGGUGUCUCAGAAGUACAAAGGAAUUGAUUUACUAAAAGAUAUUCUGAAACAAAUCACUGGAAGCACAUUUAGGUCAGCUGAUCAAAUGCAAGAGUAUGAGGUGGCAAAGAUGAUUCAUGAUUUUCUAUCCCAAAAAAGGUACUUAGUAGUUCUUGAUGAUGUGUGGGAAACAGAUACAUGGGAAAUAUUAAACAGAACAACUAGAGCCUUUCCAGAUGCAGAAAAUGGUAGCAGAAUACUUAUAACCACACGAAAAGAAGAUGUUGCAAAUCAUGUUCAAAUGCCAACCCAUGUUCAUCCUUUGAAGAAGCUAGAUGAGCAGAAAAGCUGGGAACUUUUUAGUAGCAAAGCCUUACCAUCAUACAAGAGGUCUGUCAUACAUGAUGUGGAUGAGUUUGAAAAACUUGGGAGAAAGCUUGCAAGGAAAUGUGGUGGAUUACCACUUGAACUUGCAGUAUUGGGGGGUUACCUAUCAAAGAAUUUAAAUGCACAAACAUGGUCUGAUAUACUAUUGGAUUGGCCAUCGACCAAAAAUGAGCAGAUGAUGCGAAACAUGCUAGCUCGCAGUUAUUGGGACUUGCCAAAUCAUUAUUUAAGAUCUUGCUUCCUCUAUAUUGCUGCUUUUCCGGAGGACUCCAUGGUAUAUGUGUCAGAUCUUACCCAAUUAUGGAUAGCAGAAAGCUUCAUUCCACACAUACCAAAUCAUACACUAGAAGAAACAGCAUAUAAGUAUGUAACUGAGCUGGUCGAGAGAAGCUUGGUACAUGCUGUUGAAACAAGCAUGGGAGGUGGAAGGAUUGCGAUAAUAAGGAUUCAUGAUAUCUUACAUGACUGGUGCAAGGAAGAAGCAAGACAAGAUGGCUUUCUUGAUGGAGUGGAUAAAACUACUGGACGAGCUGGUGCACAAUUAUCAUCGGCUAACUUGGCAUCCUAUCGUUCUACUUUUCAAAGUUUGAGUAAUGUGAUCUUACCUGGAGCACCUAAUGUCAGAACUCUGUUUGGCUUUCAACUUGAAUCAGUAUCCCUUCCUAGGUUGAGGUUCCUAAGAGUUCUUUACAUUGAAGGCUCAACAUUGAGAGAUUUCUCCACAGUGAUUGGUGGCUGCAUUCACCUAAGAUACCUUAAGUUGCAUUGCUGUGGAGGUGUAAUGCUACCUUCUUCAAUAGGCCAGCUCCUUUACUUGCAGACUAUUGAUCUAAGAGACACAAAACUGGACUCACAAGUACCACAGUCCCUCUGGGAGAUCCCUACUCUAAGGCAUGUUUACCUCACCGAUGGGUUUUCUCCACCACCGCCUGCAAGGAGUGUGCGGCAGCAACAUAAAGAGCUCCAGACCUUGUUUUGGGAUGUUUCAGAUGUUGGCAGUGAAUGCUGCUACCAUGACAUGGAGAUUUUAUUGGGCCAGAUGGGUCAACUAACGACAUUAUUUUUGGUGAUGUCCCCCAUGCCCUCCGAGGUGUUUAACAUACUUGCACACAUGCCUCACCUUGUUGAUAUUUCUCUCAGCAACUUUGGUGUGCUCGAUAAGUUGCCUGCUGAGCUCCCACGGGGUGUCAAGCGUCUUCGUCUCUGUGCCCAUGUCAUUAAACAAGACCCGAUGCCGAUCCUGGAGAAGCUUCAUUAUCUUGUGGUGCUAGACUUGUCGGGGUACGAAGGUCAAACGAUGUUCUGCUCUGCCCAAGGGUUUCCUCGGCUGCAAGAGUUAAAACUUGUUGGUUUUUCAACUGAUGAUUGGAGGAUCGAGGUAGGAGCAAUGCCAAAGCUUUCCGACCUGACGCUUCGGGAAUGCAAUCGCAAGCUCCCCGAGGGGUUUCUACACCUUCCGUCCCUCAAUCACCUGAUGUUGUACAGAAUGCCCCAGAUUUCCGAAGAUGACAACACACUAAAGGAGCUCGAACGGAAAGGAUGUCAGGUGGAAUCUUUAUGA